rnacentral:rRNA from 1 species
GCCUGAUCCAGCAAUGCCGCGUGUGUGAAGAAGGCCUUCGGGUUGUAAAGCACUUUUGUCCGGAAAGAAAUCCUUGGCUCUAAUACAGUCGGGGGAUGACGGUACCGGAAGAAUAAGCACCGGCUAACUACGUGCCAGCAGCCGCGGUAAUACGUAGGGUGCAAGCGUUAAUCGGAAUUACUGGGCGUAAAGCGUGCGCAGGCGGUUUGCUAAGACCGAUGUGAAAUCCCCGGGCUCAACCUGGGAACUGCAUUGGUGACUGGCAGGCUAGAGUAUGGCAGAGGGGGGUAGAAUUCCACGUGUAGCAGUGAAAUGCGUAGAGAUGUGGAGGAAUACCGAUGGCGAAGGCAGCCCCCUGGGCCAAUACUGACGCUCAUGCACGAAAGCGUGGGGAGCAAACAGGAUUAGAUACCCUGGUAGUCCACGCCCUAAACGAUGUCAACUAGUUGUUGGGGAUUCAUUUCCUUAGUAACGUAGCUUACGCGUGAAGUUGACCGCCUGGGGAGUACGGUCGCAAGAUUAAAACUCAAAGGAAUUGACGGGGACCCGCACAAGCGGUGGAUGAUGUGGAUUAAUUCGAUGCAACGCGAAAAACCUUACCUACCCUUGACAUGGUCGGAAUCCUGCUGAGAGGUGGGAGUGCUCGAAAGAGAACCGGCGCACAGGUGCUGCAUGGCUGUCGUCAGCUCGUGUCGUGAGA